UUUGGAUAUUUACCUUUAACCUUCCCUUGUUUGCCAUGUGGAUUGUUUGGAAAAUAGGCCAAAACAACAUUUUUGAAGACGUUGAAACUUACUUUGAUAUCUACGAUUUUCUUUAAUAGUGGAAAUUAUUUCAAGAAUGGUUUUAAUAAUAUGAAAAAUGUUGAGUGAUCUUCAAGCCAUGAGUACACCACCACCACGCACCUUGCAACAGGAAAACACAGGCACAAUUUCAUUGUGGAUUACGAAGAUAAGCAUUCAGUGCAGGUAGGAGUUUGAAUGAAUGUCCAGCCGGAUUUGUUGGAAGCUUGGAUAAAUGAAGCUGAUGAACUGGGGCAAACCCAAGCUGUUAUAUAAAGGAUGUUGAGCAAAGAAAGGCAUUGUGGGAAAUCAGGACUGAUUUGUUUGAACGCUGGUAACAGAAGCUUGGCAAUAUCACACUUUGAGAUAAAGCGUGGAAGUCAAAUUUUAACGUAUAAAAAUGAAGCAAUGAACUUUGCGAAAUAGACGGAUAUGUUUGAAUUAUGCAACCUCCAGUAAACUGGUACCUGGAUCUUAGUGAACUCUGAUGUAUGGAGAUGAAGCAUAUAAAUUAUGGAAAGUUUAAACCAUAACAGAUAUUUUGUUGUGCAUCCAUAGAAUGAACAAUUAUGAAUUGAAGUACUGUUUGCCAAGUGAACUUUGUAAUUUAUUAUGUAAUGUAAGUGUUGACCUUUCAAAAUGCCAGUGUUUUUGUCUGAUUCUGGACCUAGUUAAAUAGAAUGUUGGUCCAAUUUUAGUCUGGUCUAUUGGUCCUACCUUGGACUUAGUGUAAAUUGUUGGUCCUUUUAGACUUAAUUAUUUAUGUCCUAUCUUGGACUUACUGUAAAAUUCUGGAUUUAGUGUAAAUUAUUGUUCCAAUUCUGGAAUUAGUGGAAAUUAUUGGUCCAAUUCAGGACUUAGUGUAAAUUAUUGUUCCAAUUCUAGACUAGUGUAAAUGGUUGAGUCCUAUUCUGGACUUAGUUAAUAUUCUGGAC